rnacentral:lncRNA from 1 species
GAAAAUCGUACCCGCAGCUUCCACCGACCCUGACCUUAACGCCGCGUCGUUUCCAUUCAGCAAAAAUUUGCGACCUUGUAGUCUAACGGCUGAAAGAGGGAAAAUAAAUCGCUGUUUGCUCAAGUUCGUCACAUUGACGACCUUGUCUUCGGUGAGCAGCGGCUACUUGUCCACAAACCAGUUCAAGUAUUAUUACAAUACGAAGCGGUCGGUCCCCACCGAUCUACGCAACGUACACGACCACAAGGAAAAAGAAAAGGUACAGACGCGUGGGAAGGAUGAGAUACACGAAAGUGCAGUACAGCGUAAUCUCUGACGAAAAGAGAAGAAGAAAGAAAAAUCGCCCCCGGGCCUCGUGGAAUGUUAUCUACUUUCUUUGAAGGACCGAUGCGGAUCGUUUGUCAUCUACUCGA